rnacentral:rRNA from 1 species
UGGGGAAUAUUGCACAAUGGGCGCAAGCCUGAUGCAGCCAUGCCCCGUGUGUGAAUAAGCCCUUCGGGUUGUAAAGCACUUUCAGCGGGGAGGAAGGCGAUAAGGUUAAUAACCUCAUCUAUUGACGUUACCCGCAGAAGAAGCACCGGCUAACUCCGUUCCAGCAGCCGCGGUAAUACGGAGGGUGCAAGCGUUAAUCGGAAUUACUGGGCGUAAAGCGCACGCAGGCGGUCUGUCAAGUCGGAUGUGAAAUCCCCGGGCUCAACCUGGGAACUGCAUUCGAAACUGGCAGGCUAGAGGCUUGUAGAGGGGGGUAGAAAUCCAGGUGUAGCGGUGAAAUGCGUAGAGAUCUGGAGGAAUAACGGAGGCGAAGGCGGCCCCAUGGACAAAGAAUGACGCACAGGUGCGAAAGCGUGGGGAGCAAACAGG